rnacentral:rRNA from 1 species
AACGAACGCUGGCGGCAGGCUUAACACAUGCAAGUCGAACGCGUGUAGCAAUACACGAGUGGCGCACGGGUGAGUAACGCGUGGAUAUCUGCCUUUUGGUUCGGAAUAACCCCGGGAAACUGGGGCUAAUACCGGAUGGUUCCUACGGGAUAAAGAUUUAUCGCCAAAAGAUGAGUCCGCGUACGAUUAGCUAGUUGGUGAGGUAAUGGCUCACCAAGGCGACGAUCGUUAGCUGGUCUGAGAGGACGAUCAGCCACACUGGGACUGAGACACGGCCCAGACUCCUACGGGAGGCAGCAGUGGGGAAUAUUGGACAAUGGGGGCAACCCUGAUCCAGCCAUGCCGCGUGAGUGAUGAAGGCCUUCGGGUUGUAAAGCUCUUUUGGCGGGGACGAUGAUGACGGACCCGCAGAAUAAGC